UGAGUUCGGUGCGGAGCGGGUACUGAACAUGCCGAUCAAUGAGCAGGGCCUUGUUGGGUUCGGCAUCGGCAUGGCCGCGGUGGGUGGCACUGCGAUUGCAGAGGUCCAGUUUGCAGACUACAUAUUCCCAGCAAUGGACCAGAUCUGCAACGAAGCAGCCAAGUUUCGGUACCGCUCUGGUGGUGAGUUCG
rnacentral:SRP_RNA from 12 species